rnacentral:rRNA from 1 species
AUCUACCUUUUCGUGGGGUGAUAACGUAGGGAAACUUACGCUAAUACCUGCAUACGACCUUCGGGUGAAAGCAGGGGACCUUCGGGCCUUGCGCGGAUACGAUGAUGCCGCAUGCUCGGAUUAGCUAGUUGGCGGGGUAAAGGCCCACCAAGGCGACGAUCCGUAGCUGGUCUGAGAGGAUGAUCAGCCACACUGGAACUGAGACACGGUCCAGACUCCUACGGGAGGCAGCAGUGGGGAAUAUUGGACAAUGGGCGCAAGCCUGAUCCAGCCAUACCGCGUGGGUGAAGAAGGCCUUCGGGUUGUAAAGCCCUUUUGUUGGGAAAGAAAAGCAGUCGAUUAAUACUCGGUUGUUCUGACGGUACCCAAAAGAAUAAGCACCGGCCUAACUUCGUGCCACACCGCGGUAAUACGAA